rnacentral:sRNA from 1 species
GCCAGGCAUGGUGGCUCAUGCCUGUAAUCCCAGCACUUUGGGAGGCUGAGGUGGGUGGAUCACCUGAGGUCAGGAGUUCAAGACCAGCCUGGCCAACAUGGCGAAACCCCAUCUCUACUAAAAAAUCAAAACUAGCCGGGCAUGGUGGCUCAUGCCUGUAAUCCCAGCACUUUGGGAGGCUGAGGUGGGUGGAUCACCUGAGGUCAGGAGUUCAAGACCAGCCUGGCCAACAUGGUGAAACCCCAUCUCU